GUACAAGUUAAUCCAGGGGAUUUUUUGUUGUGGGGGGAGGGGGGGCUUGUGGUGGUGCGCUUGCUACGUGGUGAGAUUCUUGGUUCUCUUGGGAUUUUGUUUGCCUCUUUGUUUUUGUCACGUUCAAGCAUUAGUUCAAAAGGUCAAGCUCUGGAAGUGUGUAGAUGUCUUUAGAAGAUGGAUUUCAAUAGACAAUCAUCUCGACCUCUUUUCAUGGUGGAAUAUGGCGUUCGAAGAGUUAUUGCUGACGGCAUUGGGGAGAUUUAAUCUCCUACCUUCUUUUUCAGGUCGCUGAUAGCAACUUUGCAGGUUUCUUGCACUCUUCCCCCUUGCUUGGAGCUACUCUGGAGUGUCCAAGUAAAAAGCCAAAGCAAGCUUGUGGUGGCUCGUGAUGGAGACUGUUUUGUCCGUGUUGUUGCUGGAGACUUGUGAGUUCUACGAGUUGUUGCUGUCUUGCUCGGCUCGCAAUGGCUUUAGUUCAUUGACUAGUCUGGUUCAAUUUUCUCAGCUUCUGUUUGUAUAGGUAAAGCCCAUCUAUGUUUAGUUCAUGGACUAGACUGGUUCAAUUUACUCGGGCAAUGUUGACAGUGUCUCAGGACCUGCAAUUGCUGAAGCUGUUACCAGAAUCAUAGGAGAAGACCAAGUUUUUAGGCUUUUACUUUCAGUUUGUUAUUCUGUUUUUUAAUAUAACUGAUGGCAUUUUUUUUUCUGUUAUUAGUGGACAACUUUAGCUAGUUUUCAGCAAUUUUUUUUGUAAUUAAGUCAUAUUUGCACUUGUAUUUAAGCAAGCAUUUUGUUAAAUGAAGUAUCAG
rnacentral:misc_RNA from 1 species